rnacentral:tRNA from 1 species
UGAGGUAUAACUUAAACCCCAAAGUAAUUCGCUUACACCGAAUUAAUGCCUGUUAAACUCUGGCUACCUCAAG